AGGAGAUGGAGAGAAGGACAUCGGCACACAGGAAGUGAACAACUUGGCUUAUAUUCCAUCUUAAAUAGUUACCUUUCCCUUUAGGUGCAGGUUUGGCCUCCUGCAGCUAAUGAGAAGACCAGCUGAGCCAACCCAGGAGAACCAUAAACCUUCAGAGAGCUAGCACCCAGCUGCUAAAUUGCUCUUCAGGAAUAACCGGACUUAGAUGGACAAGACUGGCUGUCCUGUGCCCCUUCCUUUAUUUAUUUUCUAUGUUAUUUACUUAUUUUUGUAACUUUUUAUUUUGUAAUUUCAAACUUUAGAAGAGAUGCAAGAAGAGUAAGGCACUGCUAUCCAGCCUGCACCCAGACUCAUCAAGAGUUCACAUUUUGCUUCAUUUGCUUUAUCCUCCUCUUCCUCUUUCGGACAAACAUACACACACUUCUGUGGGAACCAUUUGAGAGUGUGUAUUUUUUAGAUUCUCCUAACCACAGUUAAAUUAAACAUGAUCUCUUUAAAAAAAUAUAUAUAUAUAAAAAAACCAAACACCAACUAUGUGCAAGGCAUCAUGUUAGAUGCUGGAGAGAAACAGAAUAAAAAGCCAAAAUAGCUCAAA